rnacentral:rRNA from 1 species
UGCCAGCCGCCGCGGUAAUACGGAGGGAGCUAGCGUUAUUCGGAAUUACUGGGCGUAAAGCGCGUGUAGGCGGACCAGCAAGUCAGGUGUGAAAUCCCUGGGCUCAACCUAGGAACUGCAUCUGAAACUGCUGGUCUUGAGUGUCGGAGAGGGAAGCGGAAUUCCAGGUGUAGAGGUGAAAUUCGUAGAUAUCUGGAGGAACACCGGUGGCGAAGGCGGCUUCCUGGACGACUACUGACGCUGAGACGCGAAAGCGUGGGGAGCAAACAGGAUUAGAUA